rnacentral:ncRNA from 1 species
UACCUGGUUGAUCCUGCCAGUAGUCAUAUGCUUGUCUCAAAGAUUAAGCCAUGCAAGUCUAAGUACGAGCUCUCGUACAGUGAAACUGCGAAUGGCUCAUUAAAUCAGAUAUGGUUCAUUUGAUCGUACAGUUUACUUGGAUAACUGUGGUAAUUCUAGAGCUAAUACAUGCGAGAAGCGCCGACCUCGCGGGAGGCGUGCAUUUAUCAGACCAAAAACCGGCCGCGUCUUCGGGCGCGUUCGCCUUGGUGACUCUGGAUAACUUUGCGGAUCGCACGGUCUAGCACCGGCGACGGAUCAUUCAAGUGUCUGCCCUAUCAACUUUCGUCGGUACGGUAUUUGCCUACCGAGGUUCUUACGGGUGACGGGGAAUCAGGGUUCGAUUCCGGAGAGGGAGCCUGAGAAACGGCUACCACAUCCAAGGAAGGCAGCAGGCGCGCAAAUUACCCAUUCCCGACGCGGGGAGGUAGUGACGAAAAAUAACAAUGCAGGACUCGUUCGAGGCCCUGUAAUUGGAAUGAGUACACUUUAAAAGCUUUAACGAGUAUCCAUUGGAGGGCAAGUCUGGUGCCAGCAGCCGCGGUAAUUCCAGCUCCAAAAGUAUAUAUUUAAGUUGUUGCGGUUAAAAAGCUCGUAGUUGGAUUUUGGGCGCAGGCGGCCGGUCCGUCGCAAGGCGUGUACUGGACGUCCUGGCCUUCCCUCCGGUUCUCCGCCGGUGCUCUUGACUGAGUGUCGGCGGCGGCCGGAACGUUUACUUUGAAAAAAUUAGAGUGUCAA